rnacentral:misc_RNA from 1 species
GAAAUGCGAUAAGUAAUGUGAAUUGCAGAAUUCAGUGAAUCAUCGAAUCUUUGAACGCACCUUGCGCUCCUUGGUAUUCCUUGGAGCAUGCCUGUUUGAGUAUCAUGAAAUCUUCAAAGUAAAUCUUUUGUUAACUCAAUUGGUUUCUACUUUGGUAUUGGAGGUCUUUGCAGCUUCACACCUGCUCCUCUUUGUUCAUUAGCUGGAUCUCAGUGUUAUGCUUGGUUCCACUCGGCGUGAUAAGUUAUCUAUCGCUGAGGACACUGUAAAAGGUGGCCAAGGUAAAUGCAGAUGAACCGCUUCUAAUAGUCCAUUGCCUUGGACAAUACUUUUAUGAUCUGAUCUCAAAUCAGGUAGGACUACCCGCUGAACUUCAGC